AACGAACGCUGGUGGCGUGCCUAACACAUGCAAGUCGUGCGUGAAAGUCCCUUCGGGGGCGAGUAAAGUGGCGGACGGGUGCGUAACACGUAGGUAAUCUACCUUCCGGCGGGGGACAACAGUCCGAAAGGAUUGCUAAUACCGCAUACGUCGACGAAAUCUCCGGAUCUUGUCGGGAAAGAUGGCCUCUCCUUGGAAGCUGUCACCGGAAGAUGAACCUGCGGCCCAUCAGCUUGUUGGUGAGGUAAUGGCUCACCAAGGCGAAGACGGGUAGCUGGUCUGAGAGGAUGAUCAGCCACACUGGGACUGCGACACGGCCCAGACUCCUACGGGAGGCGGCAGUGGGGAAUAUUGGGCAAUGGGCGAAAGCCUGACCCAGCCACGCCGCGUGAGUGAUGAAGGCCUUCGGGUCGUAAAGCUCUGUGGGGAGGGACGAAUAAGUUCGGUGCUAACAUCACCGGACCCUGACGGUACCUCCUUAGCAAGCACCGGCUAACCAUGUGCCAGCCGCCGCCGUAACAC
rnacentral:rRNA from 1 species